AAGAUAAUUAGUAUCACUUCAGGUAGCUCCUACAUAGCAGAGAGGCCAGGGAAAAAAUGGUAAUUUUCUUUCUUUCAUUUUUUGAUUAGCAAAAGACUCAGAGGAGCCUCUCUGAGAGGGGAAUACCUAGCACUAAAACAAUUUCCAGAAAGAGUGAUAAGCAAGUAUCCUUUGUCCAUAUUGUUGUUGUUCAGUCAUUUUUCAGUCAUGUCUGACUCUUUAUGAUCCUAUUUGGGGGUUUUUUGGCAAGGAUACUAGAGUGAUUUGGCAUUUCCUUCUCCAGCUCAUUUUUUACAGAUGAGGAAACUGAGGCAAGCAGGGUAAGUGAGUUGUGCAGGGUCACAUAGCUAGUAAAUUUCUGAGGCCACAUUUGAACUCAGGUCUUUUCUAACUCCAGGCCUACCACUGUUUAUUAGAGGAAGUUUAAAAUAGAAAAUCCAUUUCUCUAGGCCUCAGUUUUCUCAUCUACAAAACUGGGGAUAAUAUUUUACAAUCGACCUUCAAAAGAUUGCUCAAAAUGCAAGCUGUUACUUCUCUGUUGUGUUCCAAAAUCACAUUUCCAAUUCAUAGUUCUAACUUCUGUAGCUCCUGAGCUACAACCAGUCAUGACUCUGGCUUUCUUGAAGCUGUCCCCAGUUCUGGCUAUGCAGGCAAUUUAAGAAAAAAACUAAGCAUGUACUUAGUAGACCAGAACAAAUUACCAAAUGUCUCUAAUGUGUAUCCUUAUUUCUCCAAAGCACUUCCAUUACCCAUCUUCACAACUCUCCUGGAAGCAGGCUCUGUAGCUUCUUCAUGUGCAGAAUUUGGAGCAACUAAAUGGUAUAGUGGCUAGAGUGCUGGGUCUGUAGUCAGAAAGAUCAAUGCUCCUGAAUUCAGGUCUGACCUCAGACAAGAUUUCAAAAUUUUAAGCCUCUGACUCAGAUACUAGUUUGUGACUUUAACAAGUCACUUAGUUGUUUCUUUUUUUUUUGUCUCAGUUUCCUAAUCUGUAAAAUGAUCUAGAGAAAUAAAUGGCACUACUCCAAUGUCUUUGUCAAGAAAAGCCCAAACAGUGUAAGAAAGAAUUGAAUAUGACUGAAUUUGUGGGGAAUUUGCCUUACCUGAUUGUGCUGAUGAAUUCUACCCAUGUUGUUAGUCUCCAAUAAUACUUAUGUUUUGAGGUUUUGACAUUUCUUUUUUUAAAAGAACAUGUCACCUCAAUCUUUCAAUAUUCUGCUGUAGACUUUUCCCACUUGAAAUUGGGAGUAAUAUGAUGUUGGAGGAUUGGGUUUUCCCAUGAAAGCUGGACAUUUCACAUGGAUAUGUACAAUAAAGUCUAUUGAAUGAAACAUUUUUCGCACUAUUACCGACUAUUAAGCUCUUU
rnacentral:lncRNA from 1 species